rnacentral:rRNA from 1 species
GACGAACCGUGCGAACGUUGUUCGGAAUCACUGGGCUUAAAGGGCGCGUAGGCGGGCUAUCAAGUCCGGGGUGAAAUCCUCCCGCUCAACGGGAGAACUGCCUCGGAUACUGAUGGCCUCGAGGGGGAUAGGGGCACACGGAACUGUGGGUGGAGCGGUGAAAUGCGUUGAUAUCCAUAGGAACUCCGGUGGCGAAAGCGGUGUGCUGGAUCCCUUCUGACGCUGAGGCGCGAAAGCCAGGGGAGCGAACGGG